UACAGAGGUCUCGAGCGUUAGGCGGAAUCACUGGGCUUAAAGCGUGUGUAGGUGGAUCGUUAAGUACCUUGUGAAAUCCCACGGCUUACCCGUGGAACGGCUGGGUAUACUGGGAGUCUUGAGCCACCUAGGGGCGAGUGGAACAAAUGGUGGAGCGGUGAAAUGCGUAGAUAUCAUUUGGAACGCCAAUGGUGAAAACAACUCGCUGGGGGUGUGCUGACGCUGAGACACGAAAGCCAGGGGAGCGAACGGG
rnacentral:rRNA from 1 species